rnacentral:rRNA from 1 species
AUUGAACGCUGGCGGCAGGCCUAACACAUGCAAGUCGAGCGGAUGAAGAGAGCUUGCUCUCUGAUUUAGCGGCGGACGGGUGAGUAAUGCCUAGGAAUCUGCCUGGUAGUGGGGGAUAACGUUCCGAAAGGAACGCUAAUACCGCAUACGUCCUACGGGAGAAAGCAGGGGACCUUCGGGCCUUGCGCUAUCAGAUGAGCCUAGGUCGGAUUAGCUAGUUGGUGGGGUAAUGGCUCACCAAGUCGACGAUCCGUAACUGGUCUGAGGGGAUGUUCAGUCACACGGGAACGGAGCCACGGUCCAGACUCCUACGGGAGGCAGCCGUGGGGAAUAUUGGACAAUGGGCGAAAGACUGAUCCAGCCAUGCCGCGUGUGUGAAGAAGGUCUUCGGAUUGUAAAGCACUUUAAGUUGGGAGGAAGGGCAGUAAGUUAAUACCUUGCUGUUUUGACGUUACCGAAAGAAUAAGCACCGGCUAACUCUGUGCCAGCCGCCGCAGUAAGAC